GCAGGAUAGCUCAUUUGGUAGAGCAUGAGACUCUUGAUCUCAGGGUGGUGGGUUUGGGCAAAAUAAUCCUGCAUUGCA